rnacentral:rRNA from 1 species
AGACCCGAAACCCGGUGAUCUAGCCAUGGGCAGGUUGAAGGUUGGGUAACACUAACUGGAGGACCGAACCGACUAAUGUUGAAAAAUUAGCGGAUGACCUGUGGCUGGGGGUGAAAGGCCAAUCAAACCGGGAGAUAGCUGGUUCUCCCCGAAAGCUAUUUAGGUAGCGCCUCGUGAAUUCAUCUCCGGGGGUAGAGCACUGUUUCGGCUAGGGGGCCAUCCCGGCUUACCAACCCGAUGCAAACUGCGAAUACCGGAGAAUGUUAUCACGGGAGACACACGGCGGGUGCUAACGUCCGUCGUGAAGAGGGAAACAACCCAGACCGCCAGCUAAGGUCCCAAAGUCAUGGUUAAGUGGGAAACGAUGUGGGAAGGCCCAGACAGCCAGGAUGUUGGCUUAGAAGCAGCCAUCAUUUAAAGAAAGCGUAAUAGCUCACUGGUCGAGUCGGCCUGCGCGGAAGAUGUAACGGGGCUAAACCAUGCACCGAAGCUGCGGCAGCGACGCUGAUGCGUUGUUGGGUAGGGGAGCGUUCUGUAAG